rnacentral:siRNA from 1 species
AGCUCCACCAAAACAAGAUGAUAG